rnacentral:rRNA from 1 species
GAGUUUGAUCAUGGCUCAGGACGAACGCUGGCGGCGCGCCUAACACGUGCAAGUCGAACGGGGAAGUUAGCAAUAACUUUCUAGUGGCGAACGGGUGAGUAACGCGUAGACAACCAACCUUGUAAUGGGGACAACACUUCGAAAGGAGUGCUAAUACCGCAUAAGCUCUUCGGGUCACAUGGUCUGAAGAGGAAAGGAGCUGUAAGGCUCCGUUAUAAGACGGGUCUGCGUCUGAUUAGCUAGUUGGAGGGGUAACGGCCCACCAAGGCGACGAUCAGUAGCCGGUCUGAGAGGAUGAACGGCCACACUGGGACUGAGACACGGCCCAGACUCCUACGGGAGGCAGCAGUGGGGAAUCUUCCGCAAUGGACGAAAGUCUGACGGAGCGACGCCGCGUGAGUGAUGAAGGCCCUUGGGUCGUAAAGCUCUGUCAUUGGGGACGAACGAUCACAUCAGGAAAUGGGUGUGAAGUGACGGUACCCAAGAAGGAAGCCACGGCUAACUACGUGCCAGCAGCCGCGGUAAUACGUAGGUGGCAAGCGUUGUCCGGAAUUAUUGGGCGUAAAGCGCGCGCAGGUGGGAUCUUAAGUCUGUUCUGAAAGUUUGGAGCUUAUCUCCGUGAUGGGAUGGAAACUGGGAUUCUUGAGUAUC